GAGAGUUAAACAGUACGUGAAAUUGUUGAAAGGGAAACGAUUGAAGUCAGUCGUGCUGGCGCGAAAUCAGCUCGACCACUAGGGGAUCACGGGCCGUAGCGAGCCUCAAAACCGUUACGACUUGUGAUUGCUUAGUGGCCUGGUGCACUUUCGUGUCGGCUGGUUAACAUCAAUUUCGAUCGUCAUAAAAAGGCUGGAGGGAUGUGGCUCCUUCGGGAGUGUUAUAACCUUUGGCGGAAUGUGGUGGUCGGGAUUGAGGCUUGCAACGAAUACCUUCAGGGCUGUUCCACCUGGCCUCUCAUCGGAAUUCUGGCGGCGACAGCUUGCUGACGUUGUUAGGAUCGGCCUUCGAACAGGCUAGAGUGUGAGCAAAUUCGUUAAGGAUGUUAACGUAAUGGCUUUAAACGA
rnacentral:rRNA from 1 species